CAGUCGCCGCGGUAAUACAGAGGGUGCGAGCGUUAAUCGGAUUUACUGGGCGUAAAGCGUGCGUAGGCGGCUUUUUAAGUCGGAUGUGAAAUCCCUGAGCUUAACUUAGGAAUUGCAUUCGAUACUGGGAAUCUAGAGUAUGGGAGAGGAUGGUAGAAUUCCAGGUGUAGCGGUGAAAUGCGUAGAGAUCUGGAGGAAUACCGAUGGCGAAGGCAGCCAUCUGGCCUAAUACUGACGCUGAGGUACGAAAGCAUGGGGAGCAAACAGGAUUAGAUACCCCAGUAGUCCCUGUCUCUUAUAC
rnacentral:rRNA from 1 species